rnacentral:rRNA from 1 species
CGCCUGAGAACUACGAGCUAAGCUUAAAACUCAAAGGACUUGACGGUACCCCAUAUCCCUCUAGAGGAGCCUGUCCUAUAAUUGAUAAUCCCCGUUUGACCUCACCAUUUUUAGCUAAUCAGCCUGUAUACCUCCGUCGUCAGCUUACCUCGUGAGCGAAAUUUAGUGAGCUUAACGCACAUACACCAAUACGUCAGGUCAAGGUGCAGCAAAUGAAAUGGGAAGAGAUGGGCUACACUCUCUAACUUAGAACACACGAAAAACUAUUUAUGAAAUCUAGUUGAAAGGCGGAUUUAGCAGUAAAAAGAAAUC